GCUGCACUUCAAGAGAACUACAAUCUUUUAUUUUUUCUUUCUAAGUUUUGUUUUGCUUUGAACUUGUCAGCAUUUUGCCUUGAGCAAUCUCCACCUCUAAGUCUCCAAAUGCCUGGAAAUGAGAAUUUGUCAAGGAAGUAGAGUUAUUGCAGAAUCAUGAGAAUUGGAUAUGGAAAGAAUUCACGAAGCAGUCUAUUCCAACUGCAGGCCACUUAAGAAGAAUUUUUAGUCUGCUCUCCAAUGAUGGGCUUCAGCAGGAUUUGGUACAACAUCUGUUGAAGAAGUCUCUAAAGAACUUAUGAUUAAAUUAAGUUUAUGGUGAAAUUGUGGGGACCAGGAAAAUUACCUGCUUGAAAAUACCAUUGACCUUAAGUCAGUUACAGGAAAUAGCCUCUGAGGAAAAAAAUCAACAGUGAAAAAUUUUGGUGCCAGCUCUGCCUCUGAAUUGUUGGGUGAGUUAUGGUAAUUACUGAACUUCUCUAAAAUAAAAGUAUUUAAUUAAAUCA
rnacentral:lncRNA from 1 species